UGGGCCGCGAGGGAAAUGGGCCAA
rnacentral:siRNA from 1 species